rnacentral:rRNA from 1 species
UACAGAGGUCUCAAGCGUUGCUCGGAUUCAUUGGGCGUAAAGGGUGCGUAGGCGGCGCGGUAAGUCGGAUGUGAAAUCUCGGAGCUUAACUUCGAAACUGCAUUCGAUACUGCCGUGCUUGAGGACUGGAGAGGAGACUGGAAUUUACGGUGUAGCGGUGAAAUGCGUAGAUAUCGUAAGGAAGACCAGUGGCGAAGGCGGGUCUCUGGACAGUUCCUGACGCUGAGGCACGAAGGUCAGGGGAGCAAACGGG